rnacentral:lncRNA from 1 species
GGAUACGUAGUGAAGAUGGAAGGAAAAUUGUACAAUUUCUAACAAUACAUCUUAAUUAUGAACGGAAUCAAGAUAGGUUGAGGGAGAAACCAUUGCCAAGGAUUAUUGAAGAAUUUAAGGAUUUUGGAAAAGUACUAUUAUAAAGCAAGAUUAUAGAGGUAUAAAAAAAGAGGUACUCUCACAAAAUGAAGGUAUCUUUGAUGC